GCCGGAGUGGCGGAAUUGGCAGACGCAUCAGACUCAAAAUCUGACGAGGAAUUUCUUCGUAAGGGUUCGAUUCCCUUCUCCGGCA
rnacentral:tRNA from 1 species